GGAGAAGUGGCAGAGUGGUCGAAUGCGGCGGUCUUGAAAACCGUUGAGCCUUUGCGGGUUCCGGGGGUUCGAAUCCCUCCUUCUCCG
rnacentral:tRNA from 1 species